AGACCCCGCAAGGGGUUGUUAGCGUGGCAAACGGGUGAGUAACGCGUGGGCGACCUACCUCAGAGUGGGGGAUAACCUUCCGAAAGGGAGGCUAAUACCGCAUGACAUGCCUUGUUUAGAUACAGGGACAUCAAAGCCGGGGAUCGUAAGACCUGGCGCUUGGAGAGGGGCCCGCGUCCGAUUAGCUAGUUGGUGGGGUAACGGCUCACCAAGGCUCCGAUCGGUAUCCGGCCUGAGAGGGCGGACGGACACACUGGAACUGAGACACGGUCCAGACUCCUACGGGAGGCAGCAGUGGGGAAUUGUUCGCAAUGGGCGAAAGCCUGACGACGCAACGCCGCGUGGAGGAUGAAGACUUUCGGG
rnacentral:rRNA from 1 species